GAAAUCACACAUGAUAGGAAAAUAGUGCUAUGUUUAAUUUAAGUUACCAACUAGAAGAUUAAAGGAACCAGUAGGGCUAGGACCAAGUGCAGUGUACUCUUCCGAGCAUGAAGGUGGUUUUGGUUGGCGGUGUUGCUACACUGCAGCUAAUAUCAGCCAUUGAUGCUUGUUCUUCUCCUUUCAAGAGUAAGAGUGAGAGAAUGCAGCCUU
ensembl:snoRNA U3 Small nucleolar RNA U3